ensembl:lncRNA
GCUCCCACAGCUGAGGACCCUGGCCAUGCCCCUCCUCAUCCCGUAGCCAGGCUCUGCCUGCUCCCACGACCUUACCAGCUGCACACCCUCCUUUCUGGAUCCUUCCAGCCUCCUAAGGAGGGCACUGCAGUCAGCCAUGCUUUAUGUCCAGCAGAGGGCCUUCUAGAGGGGUCACCACAGAGCACUGCUUCAUCUCUCUCCACAGCAGUCUUUCCCAGGCUUCACCAACCCCAGGCCUCACCUUCCUGCCAAGCUCAUGCUAGGCCUCACCUUCGGGCAAGCCCACUCCAGCCUCACCAAUUCCAGGCAUCACCUUCCCGCCAAGCCUGCCCUAGGCAUCCCUCAUGCUGAGCAGCAGGAGUGUGAGGUGCAGCAAGUAAGGAGGGGUCUGGAUGUGUGGGGAGGGGCUAGCACAGACAGGGAGGCUGGUGGAAAAAGGGCAGCCCACAAUUAGGAGCCAGGAUUAGGUUAGGGUUAGCACUGGUGUUGGUUAGGUUCAAGCUACUUUUAUAUUAAUCUCAAGGUGGUGAGGAACUAUUUAUGUUGGAGUUUGUAUUACUGCUUGGCAUAUUAGGUUUAUCACUUACAAUUAGGUUAGCUCUGGGAGGAAAUCAGUGGAAGUUUUACAAGAUAAUAUAUUUCUUAGGCCUACCUCACUUUCACCACCUACCCUGCCUGGGAGUAAACUUUUAAUUCAUGAAUUGCAGGCUUGGGCUAUUUCUUUACAUUCCUCUGUUUUGACAAAAAACUUCAAGUAGCUAUUUUGGGAAUUUGUCAACUUGUUUGUCUGAAUUUUUACAACUGGCAUAUGUCACAAUAAGCCAAUGUAAUUAUUUCCCCUGAAAGUCAGUAGUAUUUAAUCAUGAAAUAUAACUCUAUAGAGUUGCUAAUUUUUAGGGAAAUAUUGUUAGCAAAAUGCAGGUGGUAAAUCAUCAUGAAAAUUAUAUCUCUACAAAUUUCUUUAGCAUACUCAUUUGCAAAUUUAUUUAUUUAUAAUCUGUUUACAUAGAAUACCUCAGAACUAUAUUUCCCUCGGUGUAAAUUGCUGUUAAAAUGUAUUUUCAGUUUUUUAAUUUAGUGACACCACUUCAGUUAAAUUGUUUUUGUUUUGUUUUGUCUUUGAGACAGAAUUCACUCUGUAAUUCAGGCUUGCCUUGAAUUCACUAUGUAGUCUCAGCCGGCCUUGAACUUAUGGUUGUCCUCCUGCCUCAGCCUCCUAAGAGCUGGGAUUACAGGGAUCGAACUUGGGUCCUUGCACUUGUGCAGCAGGCGGCUAAUCCACUGAGCUAAAUCCCAAGCCCUAAUGAAUCUUUUAAAAGACAUCCCUAUGAAAUCAGCGUGCUUUCAUAUAUAUGGUGUAUCACAAUAAAUUCACCCCACCCCUUUCUUUAAAGUUCCUGAAAGUAUUUUAUUUCAGGUUGAAAAAUGAACAGCUUCCACACUGUUCAUUGCAAGAUGCACAGUAUCCAUGAAUGCAAUGCUGGUCAUUUGAGGACAUACUCUAUACAUACCUCAAUUUCUCCUUCAUGCUUUUUCUUUUAGAAAGAUACUGUUUACCAAAAAGAAACUUCAGCAGUACAGGAAAAUCUAUUUUCCCAAUAAAAUUAUGAAAACCUGUUUCCCAAUGGAAUCAAGAUUAUCUUCCCACUAC